rnacentral:rRNA from 1 species
AUGGCGAGCACGGUGGAGGCCAAUGAAGAUGAUAGGCUCAGCAAGUUGCCUGACGACGUUUUGCUCAACAUUGUUGAGCGACUUGAUAUAGCUGACGCUGCACGAACGACCAUCCUCUCCAGACGUUGGAAGCAGAUCCCUGCUGUACUCUCAAAAAUUGUUAUAACGGCUGAUUCUUUUGAGCCCAAGCACAAAGAAUGGAGCAAGUUAACCUCAGAUGAUAUAGUUCGGGCCAACACCGCCGUGCUGGAAGCAACCAGGAGCAUACUGGAAAGGAGGGCUGGAAGUCUGUACCCCAUUCACCUGCUGCGCAUACAAUUCUACCUGGGAGAUGAGUCCAUUUUAAUUGGUCAGACUGUUGCCAACACCAUAGCAACACAAAAGGUUGAUUCAGCUGAGUUUACAAUCUUGACGAAGGUGCGUAAAAAGUGUGCCAAGAAUGACCUGCUCACGUAUGGGAAGCAGUUCAUGUCAUUCUUUGAUGCGUGUCCAAACGCAUUUGGUGGUCUUGUGCGCCUCACGCUAGAGAAUUUGAGGUUAGGAGAAUCUGACUUCCCCAAAAUUUUCAGUAUGUGCAAGCAACUGGAGUUCCUCUCCCUCUACGAAUGUGACAUGGGUAUUCAGUCUUUUCUGGAAGUGGAACACCCGCAACUCAGUGAACUAGUUAUUGUCUGUGGUCGUCUUGAGAGGGUUGAUCUCAAGUGGGCACCAAAGCUCACAAAACUGAAAUUUAAUAUAUUUAGAUGUAAAGAUGACCCCUUCUGUCUCGGCUAUGUCCCACUGCUCCAGACUGUGUCCAUCAUUAAUGUUGCUUUCACUUGGCACAAGAUGCUCAAGUUAAGUGAGUUGCUUGAUAAAGCUGCCAUAAGCAAUCUGACUUUGGACUUCAAAAGCGAAAAGAUUUGGGUCAAACCGGAAGGUCGAAGACAAUUGUUACCGGUGUUCCACAAACUAAGGAUUUUGAAUUUGAUUAACAUUGCUGAAGAGUGCGACCUGACUUGGACAAUGUUCUUACUGGAUGGUGCACCCAACCUUAAGGAACUACACAUCUUGGUGCGGAAUCAUUUAUGUGAAAUGAUAACGGAGAAACGGAGGGAGUUGCCUGUGGUUUGCAAGGAGAAGGACAAGGGACUAGAGUGGGAACCAUCUACAUCUGAUUUCAAGCACCACAACCUGGCUGGGCUCAGUAUCUAUGGGAGGUUUCAUGCAGUAGACAAACUGGUGCGCUUUGCGAGAAAAGUCGUGGAAGCAGCGGUGAAUCUGGAGGACAUAAGACUAUAUAAGAGUCCAGUGUGUGUGAGGUGCAAGCACAUGCUUCAGGAGUGGACAUUUGAGGAGACGUCUUGGCUUAGCUAUGAAUUCAGAAAGGAGAUUCCCUCGGUCGUCCGUAUUCACUUCCCCAGUUUAGGGCAAGUCUUCUCAAAAUAA